rnacentral:rRNA from 1 species
AUUGAACGCUGGCGGCAGGCCUAACACAUGCAAGUCGAGCGGAGCGGCGGACGGGUGAGUAAUGACUAGGACUCGGCCUGGUAGUGGGGGAUAACGUACGGCAACGAGCGCUAAUACCGCAUCCUCUCAGAUGAGCCUAGGUCGGAUUAGCUAGUUGGUGGGGUAAAGGCCUACCAAGGCGACGAUCCGUAACUGGUCUGGGAGGAUGAUCAGUCACACUGGAACUGAGACACGGUCCAGACUCCUACGGGAGGCAGCAGUGGGGAAUAUUGGACAAUGGGCGAAAGCCUGAUCCAGCCAUGCCGCGUGUGUGAAGAAGGCCUUCGGAUUGUAAAGCACUUUAAGUUGGGAGGCGUUACCGACAGAAUAAGCACCGGCUAACUUCGUGCCAGCAGCCGCGGUAAUAC